rnacentral:lncRNA from 1 species
CUGGCGAACGGGAGGCGGGAGUUGUUAUCUCGAAGAGGGUCCGUCUCUGUGUGUUCUUGGCCCCUGUUUUGUAGCGUUGUUUUCAUUGAAACAGCCACUUUUAUGUUGAAAGAAAGGCGGCCAAAUGGAGGUGGAACAAUAAAGAGCUAUGUCCUUCCCCCCCUCCCCGGCGUCCCGCCGCAGAGGCUGCAAGGAAGGUGCUCGGUAGCACAGCAGGGACGAUUUGGUCUGCCUCCCACCAUUAUGCCGUUCCAGAGCAAGAGCUACUCAAGUGAGCAAAACAGAGGAUGGGACAGGUAUCAGCUCCUUUUGAGACCAGAAGCAGAGAGCGUGGUCAAAGGGAUCAGGAACUGACAUCGCUUGAAAUUGAGAUCUACUUCUUGAGAUUGUCUACAAAACGUUGUCUCUUAAAGUUCUUACACCACUCUUCCAUUGGAACCACUUUCAGGAUAACACACAUACAUACACACAUGGAAUUAUUUUUGGUGUACUACUGUAAUAUUAAAUAUCGGUCUGACUCUUACUUUUAUACAUUACUUUCCCCAUGCCAUCUUGGAAAUUCCUGAGAAUUCUUCAUCACACUCUUUCCACUCCUUUAAUUUUUAAAUUAUAUAGUAAUUCUGCAGCCUACAGAAAUUUAUUUUUAUAUUAUUGGAUAUAUAAAUAUGGCUCAAACUGAGAAUUUUGCAAAAUGCUGGAAGUAGUAAAAAAAAAGUGAACAAACAUGGGUAGUGCACCAACCACCAACACCCCCAAAACAGUUCUAUAAUUGUCAGCCUUGUGAACAGCAAUAUUCUUGGCAUUCAAAACAUCCAGAAAAAAGCAAAGCAAAUAUUCUUUCUUUUCUGAGAUUAAAAAUAUUAUAUGAAGCCUCAUGUAUUUGGUCUUCUGAUUUUCUGCAAACAUCUGCAGUGAAACAUUUGGUUCUGCUUCUGAAGCUGCUGUUGUAGGUUUAAAACAACUUUUUGUUCUUUGUAAUUAAAAACCUUUGUAUGUUUUCCCAUUUUUUCAGAAGUUAUUAGCAUUAACAAUAUUACAUGUUUUAGCAUUUUCUUUCACUAUGCCUUCUCAUAAUGUUUAUGGAGAGGGCAGUUUAAUGCUGACAUAAAGCUGAGUGGUAUUUGACAUUUUUCCUCCAGUUAGACAUAACCAGGCAAAUAAACUAAUCGGACAAAGUAACUUUGUUUUAUUU